rnacentral:rRNA from 1 species
GACGAACGCUGGCGGCGCGCUUAACACAUGCAAGUCGUGCGGUACCGAUGGCAAGUCUUCUUGACGAGCCUUCGGUAUAGCGGCGGACGGGUGAGUAACACGUGAGUAGCUGUCCUAGGGAGGGGGAGUAACGCCUGGAAACGGGUGGCUAAAACCCCAACUAAGCCUCGAAAGAGGUAAAAGUAGCAUCACUGCAGUCCUAGGGUGUGCUCGCGGCCUAUCAGCUAGUUGGUGAGGUAAGGGCUCACCAAGGCCAAGACGGGUAGCCGGCCUGAGAGGGUGUACGGCCACACUGGAAUUGAGAUACGGUCCAGACUCCUACGGGAGGCAGCAGUGGGGAAUUUUGGGCAAUGGGCGAAAGCCUGAUCCAGCAAUGCCGCGUGAGUGAUGAAGGCCUUAGGGUUGUAAAGCUCUUUUACCAGGGAUGAUAAUGACAGUACCUGGAGAAUAAGCUCCGGCUAACUCCGUG